UACGGAGGGUGCAAGCGUUAUCCGGAUUCACUGGGUUUAAAGGGUGCGUAGGAGGGCAGGUAAGUCAGUGGUGAAAUCUCCGAGCUUAACUCGGAAACUGCCGUUGAUACUAUCUGUCUUGAAUACCGUGGAGGUAAGCGGAAUAUGUCAUGUAGCGGUGAAAUGCUUAGAUAUGACAUAGAACACCAAUUGCGAAGGCAGCUCACUACACGAGCAUUGACUCUGAGGCACGAAAGCGUGGGGAUCAAACAGG
rnacentral:rRNA from 1 species